rnacentral:rRNA from 1 species
AGCAGUCGCCGCGGGAAUACAGAGGGUGCGAGCGUUAAUCGGAUUUACUGGGCGUAAAGCGUGCGUAGGCGGCUUCUUAAGUCGGAUGUGAAAUCCCUGAGCUUAACUUAGGAAUUGCAUUCGAUACUGGGAAGCUAGAGUAUGGGAGAGGAUGGUAGAAUUCCAGGUGUAGCGGUGAAAUGCGUAGAGAUCUGGAGGAAUAACGAUGGCGAAGGCAGCCAUCUGGCCUAAUACUGACGCUGAGGUACGAAAGCAUGGGGAGCAAACAGGAUUAGAUACCCCGGUAGUCCCUGUCUCUUAUAC